rnacentral:lncRNA from 1 species
CGUAUAUGAUCUAUUACUUGCCUGUUCAAAGAAUAAACUUGAUUGUGAUAGUUAGAAUGUGUUUAUAUUUUUCUUAUAUGUACAGGAUUAAUUGUACCAAAUCUUAUAGGAAAUAUUCUUAAUGGUUGUACUAUAAGUCUAUAAUUAGGCAUCUAUGUAACUAGGAAAUCUUCCUUAUUUUGUGUAGGCUAAACUCCUAUAAAGAGCUCUAUUGUAAACCGCUAACUACUGCACAUUUUCUCCUUUCUUUUGUCUCGUUUCAUAACUUUGAUUAAAAACAUCUGCUGGCUGUUGGAAACACCAUAUGUUGCUCAUUCUAGAGGUUUAAGUGUGAUAUGAGGAAGCUGAGUUGUAUAAAAUUUUCAUCCUAUGCUUGUGGGUUAUCAUUAAAUAUAUGACACCCUAGCUUGUGCUCUGUAUAACUGUAAGUAGUGACUCAUUUGUUUAAAGAUUUGGUAGUAGCAAGAAGGUUCUUUGGAAAGGUGUGAUAUCUGGGGUUGGUUGAUGUUUUGUGAUAAAAUGCAACUAUCAAGUGCUUUAGCAUCACUAUAUUUGUAUAGCAGGUUUCCUCUUUUAUCG